rnacentral:rRNA from 1 species
GCAGGCUGCAACCCGACUACAUGAAGCUGGAAUCGCUAGUAAUCGCGGAUCAGAAUGCCGCGGUGAAUACGUUCCCGGGUCUUGUACACACCGCCCGUCACACCAUGGGAGUCGGAAAUGCCCGAAGUCUGUGACCCAACCGCGAGGAGGGAGCAGCCGAAGGCAGGUCGGAUGACUGGGGUGAAGUCGUAACAAGGUAGC